ensembl:lncRNA
AUGAAGAAACUAAAGAUAUUUUCAAGGAUAAUGAAGAAACUACGGACAUUUUCAAGCUUCACACCCUUAAUUUCGAUGUUUUGGCACCCAGGAGCACAGAAAACAGGGCAUUCCUGAGCAGAAUUAAUUGCACUUAAAAGGAAAUGUGUGUGCACUGGAGAAGCUUCUCUAUCAUGGGGGACAGAAAAUCCAAAAACUGAUUUCCAGGUUUUCAGGUGCUAAAGGUGUGGUAAUUAAACAGCACAACCCAAUUUUCAUGUCACCAUCCCCAGGAAGCUCUGUGAGGACUUACAGCCUCAAGAUGGGACAAAACAAAGGCUUGGUCCCUGCCUCUGGAAAACUGGCUGGAAUCCCCUGGGUCGCUGCUUGGACACAUCUGAGUCCAUCAGUUGGGAAUGAGCAGCUUUCCUGUGUGUGGGGCAGGCCCAACUUCCACUGAACUCCAGAAUUCAUCAACUAUCACAAAAUUAUUCCUGGGGUGGGCCCAAGAAGGGGGCUCUGAAGUCUCUUUGGAAUGGGGACCACAGGUAAAAUUAGAAGAUCCAGAAUGAAGGGACCUCAAAGCUCAUCCAGUUCCACCCCCUGCCGUGGGCAGGAACCCCUUCCACCAUCCCAGAGUGCUCCAACCUGGCCUGGGACACUUCCAAGGAAAAUCAUGUUCUGCUGAAGCCUGUUUGAGGCUGGGAAUGUUUUGUACCUGUCACACCUGCACAGUCCUUUUCUCAGGUUGGUGUUACUUUUUGGGAUCUGUAUAAACCAUAUUUCUGUAACUAUUAGUACUUAGUUAAAGGAAAGCAGAGUGUCCAUAUGGGAAUGCUGUUCUGACCCAUGGCUGAUCCCUUUUUAGCUCAGAAAACAGCACUUAAAACUGCUGAGGCUCUUUUAUACCUUCACAUGGGUCAGUUUUAAAUCCAUAUCACAAUAUAAAUCAAGAGAUACUGACUUAAGA